AACUCAGUGCCUGGGAGGAGUUUGAAGUCUGCAGCAAUUGUGGCUGGGUACAGACGUGUCAUUGUGUGACAGUAAGGUACAGUGAGGGUGUAUGUUUGCCUGGCCCCAUGGCUUCUGCCCACAUGAAAAUACUUGUUAGUCUUUUUAUUAGUUGUUUAAAAAAAAAAAAAGGAAAAAUUCAAGUGCUUGAAAGCAGAAGUAUUAAGUAAUGCUUUGCAGAAUUUCCAAUAAUCCCAUAGCUCUUGAGAGCUUUUAUAGGGGAUAAGAGGGGAAAUGUUUGACAGGUUUUUUGAAGUUCUGGUAUUAGAGAUUGUUAUGGGAAACCUUCGUCUGUGAAGGAAUUCAGAAGAAAAAGUAAAAAAAAAAAAAAAAAAAAAAAAAAAAAAAAAAGUAGGCUGAAAAUAAGCUGCCUACUUAAGAUCUUUUUUCUUUUUUUUUUUUUUUUAAGAGCCAAAUGAGAAACAGGUGAAAGAGUGAAAGGAUAAGCCAAAGGCAGAAAGUGCAGUUUCUGUCUUAGGUGUUGAUGCUUUGCCAUACCCUGACUGCUGGAGAAAGGCCAGCCCAGCUGGUGCUCUGGCCAGGUGCCACAAGACCCUCUGAUCACGGGCUUUCCCAGCCAGAGUGAAGGGAAAAUCUGGGUCAGCUAGGCAAAGUUUGAAAGAGGGAAAUUUGCGGGUGUGUGGGGAAGGAUGAAACAAACAAACAAAACACAAACCCCAGAACAGCAAGGAAUGAAGCAAGGAAGAAAACUUUCCCUGAAAGGAAUGGAUGCAACGUGAAGCUGAAAAUCUGUUUCUCUUCAGAGAUUGUGCUCCAAAAGCUCCCUGAAUCAAGCAGAAAAUGUGAGAAACUGGAGAAGAGACAGACCAGAUAUUACAUAGC
rnacentral:lncRNA from 1 species